AUGAGUGCGAUAGAAGACGAAGAUAGAAUUAGUGCGCUCCCGAAUGACAUUCUGCUAGAAAUCCUCGAGUGCCUUGAUUUGAGAGCAGCAAUCCAGGCCAGCACCGUCGCGAGACGAUGGAGGCACCUCCCGUACCAACUCUCUCAUCUGCUCAUCAGCGUCACAGACUUCCACGACGAUGCUGGUCGAACGACAGAUCAGAUAAUGAAGGCAUACACAGAUGCAAAGACAAGGUUAUUGCUGUGUCCUCCAACACUGACAUGCGGUAGGAUCAUCAAGAGACUACAGCUCAGCUUCUACCUGAUAGACCCUUACUUGACCUCUAUCGGCAAUGCGGUCGGGGACGCCGUGAAGAGCGGCGAGACUGAAUGGCUCGAGUUCGCCGCGUGUGCAGAUGUGGAUCGUCCAAGUGAUGACCAAUUAGUCCUGUUCGGGCAGCGGCUCAUGUCAUUCUCCAAUGCUUGCCCUGGUGCCUUCAAAGCGCUCACAAAACUAACCCUGCAGAACCUUGCAUUUGAAAACUCAGAUGUCACCAAUCUCCUCAACACUUGCAACAAACUUAAGCUCCUUUCCUUGAGAUCCUGUGAAUUGGUCCAGGAAUCUUCCCUAGAGAUUGAUGCCCCAUGCUCGGAGCUCGGCGCGCUCGAACUUAUCUGCUUUGGGUGCAUACAAGUUGACCUAAUCUGCCUUCCUAAACUGAGGCAACUGGUCUACGAUACUUGGUACGGGGAAAACCCCUCGGUGUCUUGUGGCUGCGUUCCUCAGCUUGAUCAAGUAUGCUUGGCCUCUCCUGCCCUGUCUUGGCAGACACCAUUCGUGUUGAGCCAGUGUUUAUCUAGUAACAGCAACAUGACGGUUCUGCAUUUGAAUUUUCGCACUGAAAUGAUUUGGAUUAAGCCCGAAGAUCCACGACACCUCAGACCUAUAUUCAGCAAACUGAGAGAUGUGCAUCUGUACAACAUCUUUGCUGAGUGUGAUCUGAAUUGGACUCUGUUUAUCCUUGAAGUAAAAGUGUUAUUACGGUCUUCUUUGGGAUACAUAAACUGGGAGAACUCAUGGAUUGUAUGUAACUAUGAGGAUAGUGCCAGCAAGACCAACUUGGUGUGGGAAACAUCCAACUUCAAGCACUUGAACCUGAAGUUGCUGGCGAUGGAAGGGUUUGAGGAGGUAGAGAAGGUGAUGAAUUAUAUAAGGCUUGUCAUGGAACAAGCGGUCAGCUUGAAAAGAAUUGAGUUGCCAGAUAAAAUCCCAUGCAAGAAGUGCAAUGCUAUAAACCUUGAAUUGCCAAGAUUUCCAGUGGAUGAACUUAGCAAGCAACGGGUUAGGGAGAAACUCUCAUAUGGACUGUCUUCAUCUGCAGAGAUUAUAAUCGGAUGA
rnacentral:rRNA from 1 species